GGCAGCAUAGAGUAGCAAUACUUUGAUGGCGGCCGGCGCACGGGUGAGUAACACGUAUGCAACCUACCUACAUCAGGGGAAUAACCCGGAGAAANNNNGACUAAUACCGCAUAAUACAGGGAUGCCGCAUGGCAAUAUUUGUUAAAGAUUUAUCGGAUGUAGAUGGGCAUGCGUUCCAUUAGCUAGUUGGUAAGGUAACGGCUUACCAAGGCAACGAUGGAUAGGGGAACUGAGAGGUUUGUCCCCCACACUGGAACUGAGACACGGACCAGACUCCUACGGGAGGCAGCAGUGAGGAAUAUUGGUCAAUGGACGAGAGUCUGAACCAGCCAAAUCGCGUGAAGGAAGACUGCCCUACGGGUUGUAAACUUCUUUUGUACAGGAAUAAAAGACAUUACGUGUAAUGUAUUGCAUGUACUGUACGAAUAAGCAUCGGCUAACUCCGUGCCAGCAGCCGCGGUAAUACGGAGGAUGCGAGCGUUAUCCGGAUUUAUUGGGUUUAAAGGGUGCGCAGGCGGGAUUUUAAGUCAGCGGUGAAAUUUUCAGGCUCAACCUGAACACUGCCGUUGAAACUGGGAUUCUUGAGUAUGGAUGAAGUAGGCGGAAUUCGUUGUGUAGCGGUGACAUGCUUAGAUAUAACGAGGAACUCCGAUUGCGUAGGCAGCUUACUAAGCCAUAACUGACGCUCAAGCACGAAAGCGUGGGGAUCAAACAGGAUUAGAUACCCUGGUAGUCCACGCCGUANACGAUGAUUACUAGUUGUUUGCGAUAUACCGUAAGUGACUAAGCGAAAGCGAUAAGUAAUCCACCUGGGGAGUACGCCG
rnacentral:rRNA from 1 species